AGACUUACCUGGCAGGGGAAGUACCGAGAGCGUGGAGGUGGUUUCCUGUGCUUUAGCCUAUGCAGCCGGGAGGAGCUGACCCCCGUGAUCCUCCCCCAGACGUGGGGAGCUCAGCUGCACCGUCAUAGUCUGUCACAGUCGGGACGGUGUGUGCUCUGCCCUUGA
rnacentral:snRNA from 1 species